rnacentral:rRNA from 1 species
AUUGAACGCUGGCGGCAUGCCUUACACAUGCAAGUCGAACGGCAGCACGGGUGCUUGCACCUGGUGGCGAGUGGCGAACGGGUGAGUAAUACAUCGGAACAUGUCCUGUAGUGGGGGAUAGCCCGGCGAAAGCCGGAUUAAUACCGCAUACGAUCUACGGAUGAAAGCGGGGGACCUUCGGGCCUCGCGCUAUAGGGUUGGCCGAUGGCUGAUUAGCUAGUUGGUGGGGUAAAGGCCUACCAAGGCGACGAUCAGUAGCUGGUCUGAGAGGACGACCAGCCACACUGGGACUGAGACACGGCCCAGACUCCUACGGGAGGCAGCAGUGGGGAAUUUUGGACAAUGGGCGAAAGCCUGAUCCAGCAAUGCCGCGUGUGUGAAGAAGGCCUUCGGGUUGUUAAGCACUUUUGUCCGGAAAGAAAUCCUUGGCCCUAAUACGGUCGGGGGAUGACGGUACCGGAAGAAUAAGCACCGGCUAACUACGUG